rnacentral:rRNA from 1 species
GGCGAACGCUGGCGGCGUGCCUAAUACAUGCAAGUAGAACGCUGAAGGAGGAGCUUGCUUCUCCGGAUGAGUUGCGAACGGGUGAGUAACGCGUAGGUAACCUGCCUGGUAGCGGGGGAUAACUAUUGGAAACGAUAGCUAAUACCGCAUAAGAGUAGAUGUCGCAUGACAUUUGCUUAAAAGGUGCAACUGCACCACUACCAGAUGGACCUGCGUUGUAUUAGCUAGUUGGUGAGGUAACGGCUCACCAAGGCAACGAUACAUAGCCGACCUGAGAGGGUGAUCGGCCACACUGGGACUGAGACACGGCCCAGACUCCUACGGGAGGCAGCAGUAGGGAAUCUUCGGCAAUGGACGGAAGUCUGACCGAGCAACGCCGCGUGAGUGAAGAAGGUUUUCGGAUCGUAAAGCUCUGUUGUAAGAGAAGAACGAGUGUGAGAGUGGAAAGUUCACACUGUGACGGUAUCUUACCAGAAAGGGACGGCUAACUACGUG